rnacentral:rRNA from 1 species
UACGUAGGGGGCAAGCGUUGUCCGGAAUCAUUGGGCGUAAAGAGCGUGUAGGCGGCCAGAUAAGUCCGCUGUGAAAUCUCGAGGCUCAACUUCGAGCUGUCGGUGGAAACUGUCUGGCUAGAGUCCGGAAGAGGAGAAUGGAAUUCCUGGUGUAGCGGUGAAAUGCGCAGAUAUCAGGAAGAACACCCGUGGCGAAGGCGGUCUCUGGACGGUACGGACGCUGAGACGCGAAAGCGUGGGAGCGAACAGG